rfam:Domibacillus iocasae strain DSM 29979 DSM29979_contig_7, whole genome shotgun sequence.
AGAACCUUUAAGAACAGUCCCGUGAGGCUGGGAAGGGAUCGGACAUAAUACGGUACACGUGUAUCGUUUUAAGGGAUCAGUAUGCCUUCUCACCAGUAUCGGGUGAGGAGGCUUUUUUCAU